rnacentral:rRNA from 1 species
GGACAUUAGGCAAUGUGGUGUUCAGGUUGUUCCGCAAAGGUACUGCUCCACCCUAAGUCCGUCACUGAGAUCGGUUGAUUGGACCCGGCCCACAGAGGGUGAUAGGCCCGUGGGGGUGGAGAUCAGGUAGGCCAGUACCUUUAUGGAUAGACCUUGGAGUCGGGUUGUUUGUGAAUGCAGCCCAAAGUGGGUGGUAAACUCCAUCCAAGGCUAAAUACCUACACGAGUCCGAUAGUAAACAAGUACCGUGAGGGAAAGUUGAAAAGUACUUUGAAGAGAGAGUAAACAGUGCGUGAAGCCGAUCAGAGGUAAACGGGUGGAGUUGAACUGCGAGCUCUGUGAAUUCAGCUGGCGAGUUUGGUUGAGCUUGGUCAAAUCGGUCGUACACUGUGGUCUGUGUAGCAGCAGGCUUUUACCCUUAUGGGGUGAAGGUGCGCGAUGCACUCAUCAGGUGAUGCGCGCUGCAGUGUUCGUCGGGCCGGCUCGCCAGUGCAUUUUCACAGAGUGGUCACCACGACCGGCACUGCUGUCGUUCUGUUUUGGUUAAACCGGUUUCGCAUUGUCCAUGUGGCUCUGCUUGAUCGGGAUGGCAGGUAGCUCGUUGGUCAGCUUUCGUUGAUCUUCGAGUGUAAUCAGCUGACCUUGACAGUUCUGUGCAGUGUGUCGGGGACUGCGGCUUUAGUGCGUGCACGCGUGCUAAGUUGGUCGAAUAGACUGAGAUCUGGUUAUUAUGUAGCCUGUGAAGGCAGGCCUGAUGAUGUCUCGGUCUAUUCGGUUGACGGUUGCGUGUGUGGCACGAUCUCUGGGCCGAUAGUCUGUGGUGUAGUGGUAGACUAUCCACCUGACCCGUCUUGAAACACGGACCAAGGAGAGUAACAUGUGCGCGAGUCAUUGGGCGUUACGAAACCCAAAGGCGUAGUGAAAGUAAAGGUUUGGCUAGUCCAGACUAAGGUGAGAUCCUGCCGUUUCUCAUGCGCGGUACUACCAAGCUUCGAGCGGCAGGCGCAUCACCGGCCCGUCCCAUGACAAUUGUCUUUUGACAUUACCCAGUCGGGGCGGAGCAUGAGCGUACAUGUUGAGACCCGAAAGAUGGUGAACUAUGCUUG